rnacentral:pre_miRNA from 12 species
UGUUUCAUAAAGUCCUCACUGAAGCCGGGUUUCGUUAACAGCGGGCUGUCAUUUCGAAAUCAACAAGUUCGUUGUCGACGAAACCUGCAUGCUGUGUGGAAUAACAACGUU